rnacentral:sRNA from 1 species
AAACCCUGACUCGAAAAAAUAAAAAAGUAAAAUAAAUUAAAAAAUCAUUUUUAUGUGACUGAUUUUUACUGGGUUAUUCAUUUUUCUCAGUACUGUAGAAAUGAAUUCAUUGUUCUGUAUUAUAAUAAAGUUUUGAUAUAUGUGAAUGAAUAUUAAAAACAGUAUUCAUGACAUUUAUACUACCUUUAGGGUGGAAAAAUGGCAUACUACGAAAUGCGAGCUGAACAUAGUGUGGAUAUAGAUGUGGAUAUUGAUUGGCCUAUUGCAGAGCAAAGAGUAUUAAGAUAUGGCUAUUUUGGCAAAGAGAAGCUUAAGGAAAUAAAACUUUUGGUUUGCAAUAUUGAUGGAUGUCUCACCAAUGGCCACAUUUAUGUAUCAGGAGACCAAAAAGAAAUAAUAUCUUAUGAUGUAAAAGAUGCUAUUGGGAUAAGUUUAUUAAAGAAAAGUGGUAUUGAGGUGAGGCUAAUCUCAGAAAGGGCCUGUUCAAAGCAGACGCUCUCUUCUUUAAAACUGGAUUGCAAAAUGGAAGUCAGUGUAUCAGACAAGCUAGCAGUUGUAGAUGAAUGGAGAAAAGAAAUGGGCCUGUGCU